AAAUGCACACGGAGGGCGGAGGGCGGCGGCGGCGGGUGCGAGUCGCGGGCUCUCGCCUUUCCCCUCCUUGGCGGGUGGAGGAGGCCGCGUGGACAGCAGAAGAUUCAGUCUCAGCAGAAAAAUGCCAAAAAGCAAGCUGGACAAAAGAAGAAACAAGGACAUGACCAGAAGGCUGCUGCCAAAGCUGCCUUAAUAUAUACCUGCACUGUCUGUAGGACACAAAUGCCAGACCCUAAGACCUUCAAGCAGCACUUUGAGAGCAAGCAUCCUAAGACUCCACUUCCUCCAGAAUUAGCUGAUGUUCAGGCAUAAAGUUGUUUACAGGUGAAUACGUGACACCUUUGAUUCUUCUACUGUCUCAGACCUUAGGUAACAAACCUGCAGCUGCUUUUCUAACAAACUGUUAUCAGCAAAAUAAAGGGGCUACAGGAAA